CAUCAAUAAAUAAAUAAAAAAAAUAAAAAUAAGAGGUAAUUACCGUACCUGCCUUAAGCAUUAAAGAAAAAAUAAUAUAUUUUUUUGGAAGAAAAACAAAAGGUAAUAAAAAUAAUAGUAAGAAGAUAUAUUUAUUAGGGUUACAUAUUAUAUGGCUUUUAAUCUCCUUCUCUCCUUACAUUUCUGAUAUUCCUCUCUCUCUCUCUUUCUUCUCUCUCGUUGGCUGCGUCCAACACCCCAGACGCACGACUUCCUCCCACACCAGCGCCUCCCCCUCUCUCCUCCCACACCAGCGCCUCCCCCUCUCUCCUCCUACACACCAGCGCCUCCCCCUCUCUCGCGACACAGACGCACGGCAGCGCCUCAGCCAGGCCGUUCGAUUGGGUUCCUCCAUCGAACACAGGGGCUUCGAAGAGAUCGACCCAGGCGAUGGCUGGGUCUUCGGCGAUCGACAGCUUCAACGGAGCUGGAAUCCGAGAUCUUCGCCUCGAAAAUAUUCAGAUCUCUGGUAUAUGGUGUUCUCUCUCUUUCUCUCUUGUUGAAUUUCUCUACAGACGAUGGUGGAUCUCGGUAUCUGUAUCGAUUGGGCUCAAAAAUGGCCGGUCUUGAUGAGUCAGUUCUACUGUUGCAGAUUGUUAGGGAUAGAGAUUGGAACUUGAAUCAACUAAGUUAUUUUUUCUGUUUUUUUUUAUUCAAAUGCUCAUACCCAUAAUUAUGGGUUUACAUUGUUCUUGUAUUUCACUUAUCAAAAAAAAAAAAAACAUUGUUCUUGUAUUUUCUUUUAAACAGUUAUAUAUUCUUUUGUUUGAAAUAUUUUACUGUAAUUUAUUUUAAAUUUCUAUUUUUGUUUA